rnacentral:rRNA from 1 species
AUUGAACGCUGGCGGCAGGCCUAACACAUGCAAGUCGAGCGGAUGAGGAAAGCUUGCUUUUCGAUUCAGCGGCGGACGGGUGAGUAAUGCCUAGGAAUCUGCCUAUUAGUGGGGGAUAACGUUCCGAAAGGAACGCUAAUACCGCAUACGUCCUACGGGAGAAAGUGGGGGAUCUUCGGACCUCACGCUAAUAGAUGAGCCUAGGUCGGAUUAGCUAGUUGGUGAGGUAACGGCUCACCAAGGCGACGAUCCGUAGCUGGUCUGAGAGGAUGAUCAGCCACACUGGAACUGAGACACGGUCCAGACUCCUACGGGAGGCAGCAGUGGGGAAUAUUGGACAAUGGGCGAAAGCCUGAUCCAGCCAUGCCGCGUGUGUGAAGAAGGUCUUCGGAUUGUAAAGCACUUUAAGUUGGGAGGAAGAGUUGUAAGCUAAUAUCUUGCAGCUUUGACGUUACCAACAGAAUAAGCACCGGCUAACUCUGUGCCAGCAGCCGCCGUAACAC